AUCAAACGUUUCUUACACCUGAUUUUUAACAUUAUCCCCGUUUUUACUCUUUCAAAACAGAUACUUCCUUACACUGAGUUUUACCAUUCAGAUGUUCAUUUCAUUACUCUGUUUUUAUUUAGUUGAUCUGUUCUAUUCGAGUACUCAAACUUAUCUAGUUUAACUCCUAAAGAAGCACUUCAUGAAACCUCUCUCUGAUUUUCUCAUUCUCCUCUGAGCAACAUGCAUAGAGACAUCACAUCACCCUACAAGGUGGCAGUAAGUAAAGUACACAGACUCAAUUGGAGUGAAAAGAAGAUGAAUGAAUGUGAAGAUAGAGUAAUGACUAGGAAGAAUGUUAGGCAACGGACAAAUGUAGAUGCAGCCUUUGAACGUGCCAUACUUUAUUUAUUGUGGUCAGUUUAAGUGAUGGUAUAAUUAUGUAUAAAAUAAUUCAGUGAUAGUAUAGUUAUGUAUUAAUGUUUGUCAUGUAUAGAUGUGUAGAAGAUGGUAUAGGUAUGUAUAAAUGAUAUAUAUAAUUAUAGAAUAGGGUGUAUAUGCGUAUAGACAAUAGGAUGGUAGGAUGUACGUCAUGGUAAAUAAGUACAUGUGUUAGACAUA